CUUCGGGGUGUGACUGCGUACCUUUUGUAUAAUGGGUCAGCGACUUAUAUUCUGUAGCAAGGUUAACCGUAUAGGGGAGCCGGAGGGAAACCGAGUCUUAACCGGGCGUUAAGUUGCAGGGUAUAGACCCGAAACCCGGUGAUCUAGCCAUGGGCAGGUUGAAGGUUGGGUAACACUAACUGGAGGACCGAACCGACUAAUGUUGAAAAAUUAGCGGAUGACCUGUGGCUGGGGGUGAAAGGCCAAUCAAACCGGGAGAUAGCUGGUUCUCCCCGAAAGCUAUUUAGGUAGCGCCUCGUGAAUUCAUCUCCGGGGGUAGAGCACUGUUUCGGCUAGGGGGCCAUCCCGGCUUACCAACCCGAUGCAAACUGCGAAUACCGGAGAAUGUUAUCACGGGAGACGCACGGCGGGUGCUAACGUCCGUCGUGAAGAGGGAAACAACCCAGACCGCCAGCUAAGGUCCCAAAGUCAUGGUUAAGUGGGAAACGAUGUGGGAAGGCCCAGACAGCCAGGAUGUUGGCUUAGAAGCAGCCAUCAUUUAAAGAAAGCGUAAUAGCUCACUGGUCGAGUCGGCCUGCGCGGAAGAUGUAACGGGGCUAAACCAUGCACCGAAGCUGCGGCAGCGACGCUGAUGCGUUGUUGGGUAGGGGAGCGUUCUGUAAGCCUGCGAAGGUGACCUGUGAGGGUUGCUGGAGGUAUCAGAAGUGCGAAUGCUGACAUAAGUAACGAUAAAGCGGGUGAAAAGCCCGCUCGCCGGAAGACCAAGGGUUCCUGUCCAACGUUAAUCGGGGCAGGGUGAGUCGACCCCUAAGGCGAGGCCGAAAGGCGUAGUCGAUGGGAAACGGGUUAAUAUUCCCGUACUUGGUGUUACUGCGAAGGGGGGACGGAGAAGGCUAUGUUGGCCGGGCGACGGUUGUCCCGGUUUAAGCGUGUAGGUGUGUGUUCCAGGUAAAUCCGGUUCACUUUAACACUGAGGCGUGAUGACGAGGCACUACGGUGCUGAAGCAACAAAUGCCCUGCUUCCAGGAAAAGCCUCUAAGCAUCAGGUAACAUCAAAUCGUACCCCAAACCGACACAGGUGGUCAGGUAGAGAAUACCAAGGCGCUUGAGAGAACUCGGGUGAAGGAACUAGGCAAAAUGGUGCCGUAACUUCGGGAGAAGGCACGCUGACACGUAGGUGAAGUGAUUUACUCA
rnacentral:rRNA from 1 species